UACGAAGGGGGCUAGCGUUGUUCGGAUUGGCUGGGCGUAAAGGGAGCGCAGGCGGUUCGUUAAGUCUGGAGUGAAAGCCCGGGGCUCAACCCCGGAGGGUCUUCGGAUACUGACGGACUCGAGUACGGAAGAGGAGAGUGGAAUUCCAGGUGUAGCGGUGAAAUGCGUAGAUAUCUGGAGGAACACCGGUGGCGAAAGCGGCUCUCUGGUCCGAUACUGACGCUCAGGCUCGAAAGCGUGGGGAGCAAAC
rnacentral:rRNA from 1 species